rnacentral:tRNA from 1 species
GGGGUUAUAACUCAGUGGUAGAGCAUGUUUUUGCUUAGCAUGCAUGAGUUCCUAGGUUCAAUCCCCAGUACCUCCA